AUGAACGCUAGCUACAGGCUUAACACAUGCAAGUCGAGGGGCAGCAUGAACUUAGCUUGCUAAGUUUGAUGGCGACCGGCGCACGGGUGAGUAACACGUAUCCAACCUGCCGAUGACUCGGGGAUAGCCUUUCGAAAGAAAGAUUAAUACCCGAUGGCAUAGUUCUUCCGCAUGGUAGAACUAUUAAAGAAUUUCGGUCAUCGAUGGGGAUGCGUUCCAUUAGGUUGUUGGCGGGGUAACGGCCCACCAAGCCUUCGAUGGAUAGGGGUUCUGAGAGGAAGGUCCCCCACAUUGGAACUGAGACACGGUCCAAACUCCUACGGGAGGCAGCAGUGAGGAAUAUUGGUCAAUGGACGAGAGUCUGAACCAGCCAAGUAGCGUGAAGGAUGACUGCCCUAUGGGUUGUAAACUUCUUUUAUACGGGAAUAAAGUGAGGCACGUGUGCCUUUUUGUAUGUACCGUAUGAAUAAGGAUCGGCUAACUCCGUGCCAGCAGCCGCGGUAAUACGGAGGAUCCGAGCGUUAUCCGGAUUUAUUGGGUUUAAAGGGAGCGUAGGCGGACGCUUAAGUCAGUUGUGAAAGUUUGCGGCUCAACCGUAAAAUUGCAGUUGAUACUGGGUGUCUUGAGUACAGUAGAGGCAGGCGGAAUUCGUGGUGUAGCGGUGAAAUGCUUAGAUAUCACGAAGAACUCCGAUUGCGAAGGCAGCUUGCUGGACUGUAACUGACGCUGAUGCUCGAAAGUGUGGGUAUCAAACAGGAUUAGAUACCCUGGUAGUCCACACAGUAGACGAUGAAUACUCGCUGUUUGCGAUAUACAGUAAGCGGCCAAGCGAAAGCGUUAAGUAUUCCACCUGGGGAGUACGCCGGCAACGGUGAAACUCAAAGGAAUUGACGGGGGCCCGCACAAGCGGAGGAACAUGUGGUUUAAUUCGAUGAUACGCGAGGAACCUUACCCGGGCUUGAAUUGCAACUGAAUGAUGUGGAGACAUGUCAGCCGCAAGGCAGUUGUGAAGGUGCUGCAUGGUUGUCGUCAGCUCGUGCCGUGAGGUGUCGGCUUAAGUGCCAUAACGAGCGCAACCCUUAUCGAUAGUUACCAUCAGGUUAUGCUGGGGACUCUGUCGAGACUGCCGUCGUAAGAUGUGAGGAAGGUGGGGAUGACGUCAAAUCAUCAUGCCCCUUAUGACCUGGGCUACACACGUACUACAAUGGCGUUAAACAAAGAGAAGCAAGACCGCGAGGUGGAGCAAAACUCAAAAACAACGUCUCAGUUCAGAUUGCAGGCUGCAACUCGCCUGCAUGAAGUCGGAAUUGCUAGUAAUCGCGGAUCAGCAUGCCGCGGUGAAUACGUUCCCGGGCCUUGUACACACCGCCCGUCACACCAUGAGAGUCGAUAACACCCGAAGCCUGUGAGCUAACCUAUUAGGAGGCAGCAGUCGAAGGUGGGGUUGAUGAUUGGGGUG
rnacentral:rRNA from 1 species